UUAAGGUCUCAUAUAUAUGCAUGAAAGGUACCUCCUCUAUGAGAAAGGAUAAGAAACCUAGUUAACUACAGAAUUCCCACUUAGUUUCUCAUCAAAUAGAAAGAGAAAGAGAGACAGGGAGAGCAUUUCAUGGUGGAAGGAAGGUAUCACAAUAGCAGACUGGCAGAGGCGUCCCACCACAUUUCCUAAGAGGUUCAGGCUUGCAAAGGACACAACAUUUGGGCAAAGGCACUUGAAUAAGUGGAGUCAGUCAUCAUUUUCCUUAUGGAUGGCAUUUGCAAGGAUUGUAAACCACUAUUUUGUGAACAAUGUUGGACAGAAUUGAUAAAAUAAGGCAUAUGAACACCACAAUUGUUCAGGUGGUUCCAGAUGCAGGGCAUUCAGCCAAUGAACCAGCAUAACUGAUGAACUCGUGGCUACAAAUGAGAAAUUGAAAAACAUAACCAAGACUAAAGGGGACUCAAGUGAGUGGACAGGCAAAUAGGAACUCCUGUAGCUUUAUUUGAACUACAUUCGGAUUACUUUUGAACCCGUAUCUUUUGGUUGAAUAUUUGUAGAUUUGUUUUAUUUAUUCAAAUGCAUUUUUUUUAUGUAAC